CGUAGGUGGCAAGCGUUGUCCGGAAUCAUUGGGCGUAAAGCGCGCGCAGGCGGUCCUUUAAGUCUGAUGUGAAAUCUUGCGGCUCAACCGUAAGCGGUCAUUGGGAAAACUGGGGGACGUUGAGUGCAGGAGAGGAAAGACGGAAUUCCAUGUGUAGCGGUGAAAUGCGUAGAGAUAUGGAGGAACACCAGUGGCGAAGGCGGCUUUCUGGCCUGAACUGACGCUGAGGCGCGAAAGACGUGGGAGGCAAACAGGAUU
rnacentral:rRNA from 1 species